AGCGAACGCUGGCGGCAGGCCUAACACAUGCAAGUCGAACGAACCUUUCGGGGUUAGUGGCGGACGGGUGAGUAACACGUGGGAACGUGCCUUUAGGUUCGGAAUAACUCAGGGAAACUUGUGCUAAUACCGAAUGUGCCCUUCGGGGGAAAGAUUUAUCGCCUUUAGAGCGGCCCGCGUCUGAUUAGCUAGUUGGUUGAGGUAAUGGCUCACCAAGGCGACGAUCAGUAGCUGGUCUGAGAGGAUGAUCAGCCACAUUGGGACUGAGACACGGCCCAAACUCCUACGGGAGGCAGCAGUGGGGAAUCUUGCGCAAUGGGCGAAAGCCUGUCGCAGCCAUGCCGCGUGAAUGAUGAAGGUCUUAGGAUUGUAAAAUUCUUUCACCGGGGACGAUAAUGACGGUACCCGGAGAAGAAGCCCCGGCUAACUUCGUG
rnacentral:rRNA from 1 species